GACAUACAAGUAGUAGGAAAGGAAACUGGACCGACCCUUCGGGGAGCUUGAACAGGUGCUGCAUGGCUGUCGUCAGCUCGCGUCGUGAGAUGUUCGGUUAAGUCCGCUAACGAGCGCAACCCUCGCUGUGUGUUACAAGUGUCACACGGAACUGCCGGUCAUAAACCGGAGGAAGGUGGGGAUGACGUCAAGUCAGCAUGGCCUUUAUAUCCUGGGCUACACACACGCUACAAUGGGAAGGGACAAUAGGUUGCGAAGCCGCGAGGCGGAGCCAAUCCAGCAAAACUUCCCUCAGUUCAGAUUGCAGGCUGCAACUCGCCUGCAUGAAGUUGGAGUUGCUAGUAAACGCAGGUCAGCCAUACUGCGUUGAAUACGUUCCCGGGGCUU
rnacentral:rRNA from 1 species